AUGUUCGCUGCGUGCACCAAGAACAAUCAGGCUGUCGGAGGUGAAAGCCUCUCACCGAAGAGCCACCCCAUCGCCGACAGGGACGCUGGUGGCUGGUGUGGCUACUCUGGACCCCUGACGCGGGACAUCUUGCCUGGUUUUUCCUCCGAUCAGACCCCCGGGGCCAGCACCCAGAAACUCGAAAAUAUAAGAACUAGCAAGAAAAAUGGCGAUUACCAUUUUACAACAAAAACCACUACAACAAUGGCCACUUACGGCGUCCCCGGCACAUGCCAGGAACCGCGUUUGGUGCAAAGAGCGUCAUCUGACCUUGCCCAACGACCCUCUGAGGUCGCUGUGAAUAUGAUCCCUGCUCUAGAGCUUGGGGUACAGUCCCAGGAGGUGAUGUGACUUGUCCAGGGUCACACGGCCAGCCCCCAGGGCAGGGGCCGGAAUUGGAGCUGCCUGGCCGUGAACUUAACCCCCACGCCCAGCUUAGCGGGAUUUCUGCAACAUAUCCUCUGUCCUCCCCAAACAUGCCAAGACACCCUCCCAGCCCGAAAACCACCUAUCGUGAUAGUCUGAAGAUGUUUUCCUGCCUGGCCCCUGGGGGCUCCUUUCCCUUCUCGUGCACUGUCCUUCACUGGGGGCACAUGGCGGUUUCCCUGGGCACCAAGGAGCGCUCACCCAGGCUGGGUGCCCGUUGGGGUGGGCACAGCCCUCCGGCCCCUCCCCCCAGAUCCCCCCCAAGCCUGUCUUCCCGUUGGGCCUUGUCCAUGCCACGCUGAGGAUAGGAACAAAUGAGACCGGAUCACAGUGUGGGCCCCGGUCAGGUGCAAACCAUAGGGACCCAAGCGUAACCCUGCUGCAGGGCUCCCCGCUGCUCCUGCUGAGCAAAGCAAAACGCCAUCUGCACCUGUUCAGGCGGCACGUGAGACCUGGCCAUGGUCGGAGCCUCGUUGCCGCCCUGCACGAGCUGAGCGGUCAGCCACCACCCCCAUCUCCCUGCGGAGACCUUGAGGCCAGGAUCCGGGGCAUCAAGUGGCCAGAGAAUGGGUGUGGCAGGGCCCCAAGGCAGGCCAGGGGCCACUCUGGGCUCGCCCUGAUUGCAAACAAAAACAGGAACACCAGGGCUAUCCUCCCGNGCCCGCCACAGCUCCUAAGACCCUGUCCCCUACUUGGCACAUUCCUUCUAUGAAAUCCAGCGAUAAAGAACAGAAGGGCACCAGUUUCAUUUUCAGAACCUCGCUCUUGUGUGCAGCUCCUCAAAAAUAAAUUCUGCCCAGACGAGAGCUCCCA
rnacentral:lncRNA from 1 species